UUAUAUUGUUUAAUAUAAGUUUUUGAACUAUUUUGAACUAAAUUUUAGGAAAGUUUGAUUCUGUCUUAAGAAUAUUUUAUAUAAAUUGAUUAUAUGUAUUAUUUAAAUAAUUUUCUUUUACAGUAAUUAGUAUUGAUAUUUAUUUUAUUUAAUAUUCAGGAAUUUAUUUUAAGUUAGAUUAAUUUUGUGCCAGCAUUCGCGGUUAUACAAUUAUAUUUAAGAUUAUUUUUUUAAUAUUAUUUAUUUGUUUUAAUAGAUUUUAUAUUAAACUUAUUUAGGUGGAAUUUAUAGGUUUAUUACUAAUUCUUAUUUAUAUUUUUAUAAGUAUUAAUUUAAAACUAGGAUUAGAUACCCUAUUAUUUUUUGUUUGUUUUAUCUAGAAUAUUAAUAGUUAUUAUCUAUAAAACUCAAAGAAUUUGGCGGUGACUAAUCUUUUCAGGGGAAUCUGUUUAUUAAUUGAUAAACCACGUUAGUUUAUUCUUUAAUUAUAUUUGUAUAUCGCUAUAUUGAGUAAUUUUUAAGGAUUUUUCUAUUUUAAUUAUUUAAUUAACAUUAGGUCAAGGUGCAGUUUUAUUUAAGUUUAAAUGGAUUACUUUAAUUAUUAUUUAAUUUGGAUUUUAAUAUUUAAUUUUAAUUGAAAUAGGAUUUGAAAGUAAUUUUAAAUAAUUAUUUAAUUUGAAUUAAGCUAUAAGUUAUGUACAUAUUGCCCGUCGCUCCAGCUGUAAUGGAUAAGUCGUAACAAAGUAAUUUUACUGGAAGGUGAGAUUAGAUUAUU
rnacentral:ncRNA from 1 species